rnacentral:rRNA from 1 species
UACAGAGGUCUCAAGCGUUGUUCGGAUUCAUUGGGCGUAAAGGGCGCGUAGGCGGCGAGGUAAGUCGGGUGUGAAAUCUCAGAGCUCAGCUCUGAAACUGCACUCGAUACUGCUUUGCUAGAGGACUGGAGAGGAGAUUGGAAUUCACGGUGUAGCAGUGAAAUGCGUAGAGAUCGUGAGGAAGACCAGUGGCGAAGGCGGAUCUCUGGACAGUUCCUGACGCUGAGGCACGAAGGCCAGGGGAGCAAACGGG